CAUGAGAAAAUCAGUAAAAGAGUUGCAUAAAUUAAUAGUAAAUCUUGUGCUCUUAAACAACAUUAGUAAAGUUCUCAAGUAGAAUCACUAACGGGAAAAAAAAUGAAGUUAAUAAGAUACUACAUUGAACCUUUAGUACAGAGUGUUAAAUUUGGAGAUCCUGCGAGUUUUAGCAGUGUGGCAAUGCAAACUUGUACCGUAAUUCUUUACAUCAUGAUUCAUGCCCAUGCCUCUCAGAGGAUAUACAGAGUGCAAGGAAUCCAAGUUCGUCUUGAAUGCAUUCUGAUCUCAGCAAACACCAUUAUUUUUUUAGGACUGUACUUCUAUUUUCCAUCAUUAUUUCCAGAUUAAUAGACAGAGUUCUCAAUACAGAAGCACAAAACUUCACCAUGUCCGAAAUUCAGAGCAACACCAUAGCAACGUCGGUAAGAACUGUCUAGGAUGAUGUAAAACAGUUCGCUUUGCUAUGUAAAUGCCUAUCACCAAAUCUUCCUCACUAAAACUGAGAAUACUAAUUGACAAAGAAGAUUUACAACGUAAGAGAAACAGGAAAGAAAGUAAAUACAUAAAUUAGUUCGGUCAGAAGAGAUAAAUUUUACUUCUGGAGAUAUUAUUCACCUUCCCUACGGUGUGGUUGUUGGAAGACAAUCCAAACAUCCCAACCCUUGCAUUCACAUUAUAGCCUCAUAUAGCUCCCGACAUUGUCAUGAGCUCUUUCUCUUGAGAAAUUCAGUCUCAUGUACCCUCAAAACCAAAAAUCCUUCCUUUAGCAAAUGCAAGCUUUCUAUUUUUCCUAAAAGCACCAAAAACCAAAAUUCAAUAAUAAUUACCACCUUAGGAUGUGCAAACAGCAAAGUGGUCCUCGUGUGAAUUUUCCUAAUUAAUCCAACCACUUGAAUCUCAGAUCUACAAGGAAGCAAUAAAUCAUGACAGCAGCCGGCAGCCAGUUGAAUGCUAAACCUUUGUAUAUGAUUUGCUCAAGCAUGACUUCGUCUGUAUACGAAUAAAAAAACAGAAAACAUGUUAUAGUUGCGGUUUCUCUAUUUGCCUUUAGAAAACACUUAUUCAUGUCAUCCAAAAAUAAAUUAAUAUCGUGGCACCUAUACCUCAAAACUACAUUAUAUGCUGUAACGACCGUGGAAGACUCCAACUUUUCCUAAUUUUACAACCAGCACCAAUAAGCGAAAACAAGGGACAAUUGAAAACCAAAGAGUUCUCCAGUUUACUAGGUUUUACGUUUUGGUAAAGGGACGCAGGGAAAGAAGGAACAUGCUCUAUACAAGUUGAAGCAGGGACUACCUGAUAACAGUAAUCAACUAGCCAUUAAUCAGAAGACUGAGGGAGAGAAAGAAUUGGUUAGCAGAUCCUUUGAAAGUCCAAGGCAGAGUUUUUGAUUAUUUUGAAUUUGAAAAAGCAGGAAAGAAUAUAGCAAUGUCCAGUUGCAAGGAAAAGCUAUAAGUUCCCGAUACUUUAGUCAAUGCAGCAAGCUAUCAAAGCAAAAGCAGACAAGUGAGAGCUAGCAAACGGGAGAUCAAGUAAAACGUAGGUAGGACAUAUGAUUGCAUCUUUGAGAUAUAUAGAACAGUGCUCCUGACUAAGAUUUUUGGUUUUUUUGUCACUAACUCAGAGCUGGAGGUGAAACUAUCAGAUUGUUUGGAUAUGUAACCAGGAAAAGCAAUUACAACUCCUAAAUCAUACUAAUGUGAUAGCGCUACAGAUUGUUAUUUGUCACCACAUAGCAUGAGUAUUUGGUCUGCAUCAAGUCCCAAACUCCUCCUCAUCUAUCCCUUACCAACUAAUCAACUCUAAAUCACAAGCAACCCACCAAAAUAGCUCUAUCCAAAAGAAAAAAGAUGGAAGCAAUUGUACUGCCCAAAAAGAAGAGCGGUGGAGCAGUGUAGAAAGCAAAAUGCAGAAAUACAAAAUAGGUGUAUACCUGAUAAAGAUAAUCCUAUCACCUGCUCGUCAACACCCGGUAGUUGAGGACAAGAUCUUCAGGUUUCUUCCAUAUAUAGGCACGGACAGUUGCUAAGCUCAUAUCAGGAGAUAAAACCUGGUAAAAGAACAAAAGGGAGU
rnacentral:lncRNA from 1 species